GAUGGACGCUGACAGCAUGCUUAACACAUCAGCCAUUGAUUGGUGGCGGACGGGAGAGUAACGCGUAAAGAACUUGCCUCACAGGUAGGGACAACAUUUGGAAACGAAUGCUAAUACCUAAUACUGUGAGAGAGCUUUGCGUCCCAUUAGCUAGUUGGAGAGGUAACGGCUCACCAAGGCGAUGAUGGGUAGCCGGCCUGAGAGGGUGAUCGGCCACAAGGGGACUGAGACACGGCCCUUACUCCUACGUGAUGCAGCAGUGGGGAAUAUUGGACAAUGGACCAAAGUCUGAUCUAGCAAUUCUGCGUGAAAGAUGAAUUUUUCGGAAUGGAAAGUGCUUUCCUGUGGGAAGCGGUACCAGCAGAAGAAGUAACGGCUAACUACGUGCCAGCAGCCGCGGUAAUUC
rnacentral:rRNA from 1 species